UACUGAAAGCAACCUAAACCCUCCAUCAGUAGGGGGCUGAUUAACGACACCAGCACAAUCCUAUAAUGGAAUACUGUACUCUGCUGCUAUAAAGAACAGUGUGGAACCUUCUCUAAGGUUUAUUAGCUGAGAAAAGCGAGGUUCCAAACAGUAUAUUCCUCUUUGCAUAAAAAGGCAGGGUGUGCGGAGCCUGGGGUGUCGUCCUUGCAUGGACCCCCACGACUACCCCAGCCCUCAUGCUGCACAGAUGACACCAGCAGAGCUGCGCACCGCCUGCCCAGACUCCAGCCCUGGACACAGAGUGAGCCAGACCCAGCCCUCAGGUCUACUGGUUAGGAAUCCGCCUGCCAAUGCGGGGGACACAGG